UUUCAUUAGGUUCGGCAUGCUUCACUUCGUUGUCGUGUCACUGAAAAGAAUUAACGGCUGUCAGAGCUGUCAGUUUGCUGCCCAUUCUGUUGGAGCCGCUAAACGCUGAGGCGCUGUUACCCUUCCUUUCCGAGCGGGAAGCCCCAGUCGCGCCGUGUGCGCAGCGAGCGGGGGCACAAUUUACAUCCAAUCAUGGGCUUCCUCCACAAAUCACACGUGUAUUUGCAGCACGCAACCGGGAGUAAUGAAGAUAUACAUCGACAGGUCGUCCGUGCUCAUGGUCAGUGCGUCGUAGAGCGAUCGAUCGUACAAUCGAAACAGAUCGUUCAUCGUUAGUCGCCGAUAAAAAGAAACUAAAGCUAAUAUUCCCAUCGGUUCGCCGCUAACAGGCGCCAAUGAACAUUCGCCGGAGAAGCGGGGGAGCGAUCUCGCGAUCGUGGAAGAACAGAUCGUGUCCAACGAUCAGCGGGCACGUCGGCGAAGCACGAACCAGUGUCUUCUAGCCUGCGGUGUGUUUGAGGCCGGUGUUUUUAAUCGGUUUUUCGAUUUCACUUAACUAAGAAUGAUCGCGGCGGCGAUUAAGCGCUGUCCGUGCGCGCCGAUCCAACAAACGAGCGAGAGUCAUAAAUUAUGCGAAUGAAGUUACAAAAGAGUAACAACCAUAGAUUAUCUUAACCGGCCAACGCUCAUCGUCAUCGACCGUAUCUUGAAGGUUUCCCCAUAAUAAACCACAUCCAUAGCACCAACCAACCUUCUCGUUCAAAACCGACGACUUCGGUUCCUUCACUUAGUGGCGGUAAACGCGAUCGCUGAACGCUCCAUUCAUUCCAUCGUUGGCAUCGGCAUCAUCAUGCCCGCCCCGUCGGGCAGAGUACCUUUUUAAUUUCCUACAGCGCAGCAGCAUCAGCAGCCGAUCACAGCGGACACGAAUGAACAGAAGGAAUCCCAUCAACAACGGAGAGGUAAAAAAUCGUCAGCAGCAGUACAACUAAUAAGAACUCUCACCUCGCCCUUGCCGGAUGCCGUGUGGUUUCAACCGACGGGACAGAGUGAGAAAUAAAAGAAAAACAACGUAGUGGAAUAAAAAAAAAACUGUCGAUAAAAUUUACGAUACACCAUAAAAUACAAAUAUUUCACGUAAUUUGAUAUUUCUCCAAGUUCAUCUAUAAACGUAAUGAGGCAAUUAAUUAUUCCUGUUUUAUUGGGGAAUAUAUUUUAUUUUGUCAUAAAUAAAGACACGCUGCUGAGCUAAACGAGCCACAGCGAGCAUUCAUUUUCUGAUGUUGCUGCUGCUGUUGCGGUGGUUGCUGCUGUUGCUGCUGCUGCUGCUGUUGCUCCUGCUCUUGCUAGUGGAAGUUUGUACGUGUGUUCCUUGGUGUUGCUUUUGUACGUGUGAUGUGUUAGUAAGAAACGGUGCACAGCCAGACGGAGCAGGAUAGCCGUACGAAACACAGUGCACGUGAGUAGGAGAGUGCUUCGUGAAAAAAAAACUUGAUCUUCAACCAGCUACAAUCGACCCAGUGGGAGUUAUGUUUAUAUAGUUAACAGUGAGAAGCAAAGCGAAGCGAUGGAAGGCACAAAAAACACGUAAAUGAGCGACGAUGAAACGAUUGGAAUGGCCCCAACCGGGGCCAAGACGAUAAACUUAAGCAGCAGAAAAGGAGCGACCAUUUCGACGGAAAUUGCUGUUUCCAGCUAAUAAAACCCACCGCAAACUCGGGUCUGAUGAAAACGAAACGGCAUCUCCUGCUCGUAGCAAACUGCGGUGCUAAGAGCGGUAUGGUAGCUGCUGCUGCUAUGAACGGGUUGCGUUCGUGGGUGCGACAUCGUGCGUGCUGUGCGGAACUACACAAUCGUACAAAUAUUGACACUAUUCGCACCGAGGGUGUUCUUGACAAUUCAUUCAACAAACGUACCAUGGUUUGUGAGAGCGGUUACAAUUGUAAGCGAAAGGAUUUAUCACUUGUUAACUAAAUCGGCUUUGUUGUACAAAUCGGGUCCAAAAAUGCCCGUAACAGCAAAUUUUCCCUUCUUAUCGUG